AUUGAACGCUGGCGGCAGGCUUAACACAUGCAAGUCGAACGGUAACAUAAAGGAGCUUGCUUCUUUGAUGACGAGUGGCGGACGGGUGAGUAAUGCUUGGGAAUCUAGCUUAUGGAGGGGGAUAACUACGGGAAACUGUAGCUAAUACCGCGUAGAAUCGGGAGAUGAAAGUGUGGGACCUUCGGGCCACAUGCCAUAGGAUGAGCCCAAGUGGGAUUAGGUAGUUGGUGAGGUAAAGGCUCACCAAGCCGACGACCUCUAGCUGGUCUGAGAGGAUGACCAGCCACACUGGGACUGAGACACGGCCCAGACUCCUACGGGAGGCAGCAGUGGGGAAUAUUGCGCAAUGGGGGCAACCCUGACGCAGCCAUGCCGCGUGAAUGAAGAAGGCCUUCGGGUUGUAAAGUUCUUUCGGUAGCGAGGAAGGCAUUUAGUUUAAUAGACUAGGUGAUUGACGUUAACUACAGAAGAAGCACCGGCUAACUCCGUG
rnacentral:rRNA from 1 species